AUUGAACGCUGGCGGCAUGCCUUACACAUGCAAGUCGAACGGUAACAGGUCUUCGGAUGCUGACGAGUGGCGAACGGGUGAGUAAUACAUCGGAACGUGCCUAGUAGUGGGGGAUAACUACUCGAAAGAGUGGCUAACACCGCAUGAGAUCUACGGAUGAAAGCAGGGGAUCGAAAGACCUUGUGCUACUAGAGCGGCCGAUGGCAGAUUAGGGAGUUGGUGGGAUAAAAGCUUUCCAAGCCGACGAUCUGUAGCUGGUGUGAGAGGACGAGCAGCCACGCUGGGGCUGAGAGACGGCCCAGGCUCCUGCGGGAUGCAGCAGUGGUGAAUUGUGGACAAUGGGCGAAAGCCUGAUCCAGCAAUGCCGCGUGCAGGAUGAAGGCCUUCGGGUUGUAAACUGCUUUUGUACGGAACGAAAAGCCCUGGGUUAAUACCCUGGGGUCAUGACGGUACCGUAAGAAUAAGCACCGGCUAACUACGUGCCAGCCGCCGCCGUAAUAC
rnacentral:rRNA from 1 species